UACGGGGGGGGCAAGCGUUGUUCGGAAUUACUGGGCGUAAAGGGCUUGUAGGUGGCCAACUAAGUCAGACGUGAAAUCCCUCGGCUUAACCGGGGAACUGCGUCUGAUACUGGAUGGCUUGAGUGUGGGAGAGGGAUGCGGAAUUCCAGGUGUAGCGGUGAAAUGCGUAGAUAUCUGGAGGAACACCGGUGGCGAAGGCGGCAUCCUGGACCGACACUGACGCUGAGGAGCGAAAGCCAGGGGAGCAAACGGG
rnacentral:rRNA from 1 species